GACGAACGCUGGCGGCGUGCUUAACACAUGCAAGUCGAACGGAAAGGCCCUGCUUUUGUGGGGUGCUCGAGUGGCGAACGGGUGAGUAACACGUGAGUAACCUGCCCUUGACUUUGGGAUAACUUCAGGGAACUGGGGCUAAUACCGGAUAGGAGCUCCUGCUGCAUGGUGGGGGUUGGAAAGUUUCGGCGGUUGGGGAUGGACUCGCGGCUUAUCAGCUUGUUGGUGGGGUAGUGGCUUACCAAGGCUUUGACGGGUAGCCGGCCUGGGAGGGUGACCGGCCACAUUGGGACUGAGAUACGGCCCAGACGCCUACGGGAGGCAGCAGUGGGGAAUAGUGCGCAAUGGGCGGAAGCCUGAUGCAGCAACGCCGCGUGCGGGAUGACGGCCUUCGGGUGGUAAACCGCUUUCGCCUGUGACGAAGCGUGAGUGACGGUAAUGGGUAAAGAAGCACCGGCUAACUACGU
rnacentral:rRNA from 1 species